UACGAACAGGCACAUGGGCUGGGAAGUAC
rnacentral:piRNA from 1 species